GAGGGAGGGACGGAGGAGGAGUAAAUCAGUGUUUGAGACUCUGACGCGGAAGAAGAAUCAGCCUCGGAGGAGGAAGAAGAAACCUCAAAAUGAAGCGGACCCCCUCCGGCUGACUUCACACUUGUUGAAUAACGUUUACAUCCAAACCUGAAAGCGGGUUCUGGACGAUUUCACAGCCGGAUUGUGACGCGUUUCUCCCGGGCGUGGAGCUGCUGGAUCAUGCUGCACGGCUGACUAACAGACCGGCUGUGCUUGUGACUGAAAAUAUCACCAUUCAUCCAUUUUAUACAGCUGUGGACUCUCUCAGCAUCCAUCUCUAAGCCUACUGGAUCGAUAUUUCAUUAUUUAUUCAUCUAGACUCCCAAGCGGAAAAGCUCCGGGAAUCACACCGAGCGAGGCGCCCUCUCGUCCGCGCAGCGCCGCUGGGUGGCACCGCUGUCUCCGGGCGGAGGGGCUCUGAUCACGGCGUGGUGGACGCUCUCUCCUCACCGUGAGAAGACGAAGUUUAGAAAGAAAACAAAGCCUCGCUGCCUUCAACCAACCAGCUAUCGUUUUAAAGAAAGUUGGAUACACGAUUAAUAUUGAACGAGUUGGAUAUCUGUGAGGCGGGAAGCUCCGGGAGACACGCCGACCACAGCGUCUCUCUGCCGGGCAGCACCGCUGGGUCCAGCCGGCGGGUGGUGGGAUGACUCUCCGCUGGUGUUUAGCGGCGUCAAAUUAGAAAACUAAUCUUGUUUGGAGAACAAAGUCGUGACCUGAUUGCCUAGUCUGUAUUUCUGGACUGGAUACUUAGCCUCUGAGGCGGGGAAAUCUCCAUUAAACACACCGAGCACGGCGCUCUGUCCCCGGGCUGUGGAGCUGCGCUCGGCCCCGGUGGGAUGUCUCUCCUCUGGGGGUGGACUAUUUUCUAUAUAUAUCCGGGCUUUUCUGCAGUGGAAGUUAAUCCACGCUGUACCCCGUAGUGUCGCCCGUGUGUUUCUGUGUAGGAUUGUGUAGGAGGACAUGGCGGAAUCAGGUAGGGCCAGACCGGCGGACCCUGACGCCGCGGACAGCUGGACAGAAAGCCCUCUGACCGGGAAGAAGAGGGCCCAGCACUCCCCGGGUCUCCGUACCAAGUACCAGAGCUCCGCACCGGGUCACUGCCUCAGGAAAGUCACCCUGACCAAACCCACUUUCUGCCACAGCUGCAGCGACUUCAUCUGGGGUCUCAUCGGCUUCCUAUGUGAAGUGUGCAACUUCAUGUGUCACGAGAAAUGUCUGAAGACGCUGCGAUCAGUUUGCUCCUGCAUGACUCCGUCUCUGGUGCGGGUUCCUGUGGCUCACUGCUUCGGUCCGGCGGGUCACAAGAAACGUUUCUGCUGCGUCUGCAGAAAACAAACGGAAGGAAACACGGCCCUACGCUGUGAAGUCUGUGAGCUGCACGUCCACGCUGACUGUGCCGUAUUCAGCUGUGCAGACUGUCGCAGCAGUCACCUGGACGCCACUCUGCAGCAGGAUACGUUCCACCACCACUGGAGGGAGGGGAACAUGCCAUCAACGUCCAGGUGCGAGGUGUGUCGGCGGUCCUGCGGGUCGUCCGAUGUCAUGGCGGGGAUGAGGUGCGAGUGGUGCGGCAUCACGAGUCAUGCGGCUUGUUACCUCGGCGUUCCACCAGAGUGCGCUCUGGGACGUCUGCGCUCCAUGCUGCUGCACCCGGCCUGCGUCCGCCUCCACUCCAGAAACUUCAGCAAGAUGCACUGCUACAGAAUCACCGAGAGCUGCAGCCAAGAACUGGAUAACUCAGACGACGUUGAUGCGUCUGCUGCUGUGUCUAAAGACGGUCAGCCGGCUGCUCCAGAGUCAGGUAAACAGUUCUUGAAGGUGUUUGAUGGCGAUGAUGCCAUUAAGCGCGGCUGCUUCCGAUUGGUCUCCCUCCUCCGAGCCACGAGGAACGAGGAAGUGGUGGAGGCAGCACUGAGGGCCUUCUACCUCCCUGACGAACCUCAAAACUUCGAGCUGCAAGAAGUCGGAGCGAUGCCGUGUCUCCAUAGCGACGACAUCCUCAACCGCAACGGCAGCCCAGACAACAGGAGCUCCCUGAAGGACGGAGGAGACACCUGGCUGCUGAGAGCCAAACCCCGAGACGCCGAGGUCAUCCAGGUGCACGCAGGAUGGCCCAGGUCAGGUGCAGCUUUCGUCUCUGUCUCCGUCUCUAAGAACAGCACAGCAGCUUCAGUCCUCUCCGAGGUCCUCAAUCAGCUCGACAGAAAGGGAGAAGAUUCGUCCAAUUUCAGCCUGAUGGAGGUUUACAUGAGCAGCAAGCAAGUGCAGAGACAGACUCUGACCCCUCAGGAGAACAUUCUGGAGAAGCUGCAGGAGAUCAGAAAGCUGUCUGUUCGUCAGAUGAAUCAGACUCGGUUUUACAUUGUGGAGAACAUCAACCGAGUGGUGCAGGUCAGCCUUCUGAUCGGAGGACUGCCCCCUCUGUUGGCCAAAGAAGAGUACGUCCAGCUGAUCGAGGAACACCUGACCAUCAAGAGUCACCUGGUCACCAUCAGCCACAUCUAUGACAGUCAAGGUGCUGUGGCGUUGCAGAUCUCGUGUUUUUCUGAAGCAGAGAGGAUCUACAUGUUGGCCAAAGACACAACAGUCAACAACAAGACGCUAACGUCACUCGUCAUCCCAGAGAUCCUGCACAACAAGCUGGGAGACGGCGUCUGUCCUCUGCUGGUGUUUGUUAAUCCAAAGAGCGGCGGCAUGAAGGGCAGAGAGCUUCUCUACGGCUUCCGGAAACUUCUCAACCCUCACCAGGUCUUUGACAUCUCCAACGGAGGACCACUGGCCGGCCUGCAUACGUUCCGAGAGGUUCCCAGGUUCCGGGUGCUGGUCUGUGGAGGUGAUGGGACGGUGGGCUGGGUGCUUGGAGUACUUGAGGCAGUCCGUCACAAACUGGUGUGUCGAGAGCCGCCCAUCGGCAUCGUACCUCUGGGAACAGGUAACGACUUGGCUCGCGUCCUGCGUUGGGGAACGGGUUACAGCGGCGAGGACCCCCACCACAUCCUGGUCUCUGUAGACGAGGCGGACGUGGUCCUGAUGGACCGUUGGACCAUCCUGCUGGACGCUCAGGACAUCUCUGAGGACGGAAAGGACAACGGCUUCCUGGAGCCUCCAAAGAUUGUGCAGAUGAACAACUACUUUGGUCUGGGCAUUGACGCAGAACUCAGCCUGGACUUUCACCAGGCCCGAGAGGACGAACCUGAUAAAUUCACCAGCAGGUUCCAUAACAAAGGUGUGUACGUGAAGGUGGGCCUGCAAAAGAUCAGCUACACCAGGAGUCUCCACAAAGAGCUGCAGCUGCAGGUGGAUGCUCAGAACGUCCAACUACCCAACAUAGAGGGGCUGAUCUUCUUAAAUAUACCCAGUUGGGGUUCAGGUGCAGAUCUCUGGGGGUCAGAGGCGGAUGGUCACCAUGGGAAACCAAGGAUAGAUGAUGGCCUACUGGAGGUGGUUGGUGUCACCGGGGUGGUCCACAUGGGCCAGGUACAGAGCGGCAUGCGUUCAGGGAUUCGUAUUGCUCAAGGGAACUACAUCAGGUUGACUGUGAGCAAACCCAUACCUGUGCAGGUGGACGGAGAACCGUGGAUCCAACCGCCAGGACACAUUAUCAUCUCUGCUGCUGGACCCAAGGUUCGGAUGCUGAGAAAGUCCAAGCAUAAGCAGAAGAAGUCCUCUGCCAGCGUGAAAGAAGGACGUUCUGAGAGUCCUUCCUCCAGAGACGGGGGACACUGAAGGACUCACCUGAAAACCCCGAGUCCUGCCUUUUACCUGCUUCCCGUUGAACCUGGGAGGCCAUUUUGGUGCCAUCAGCAAGCUGUGACUUCACUCAUGUAGCUUUGUUGCGAUGCUGACAGGAUCCAGAUCAACAAUGAGAGACUGAAGGAGGUUUAAUGUUUACUGCCUGAAAGAGGAAGUCCUGGAUCAAACCAAGUUUGUCUCAGUAUGGAUCAAGUCCACCUGCUGCUGGUAAAACACUUACAGAAUCACAAUACCCGCAGUAAAUAUUCAGCAGUCUAAAAAUGUUAACCUUAAACACAAUAUAGCAAUGAAUGAAUAGAUCCAUAAAAAGGAUUUCUGCUUAAAAAAGAGUUUAUAUUGAAUUUUGACAAUUUCUCAGUAUGGAUAAGCUUUAGAGUUGAACAAACGAAGUAUUAAACAGAAGUUUCAAAAUGUCCUUCUUAAAGUGACUGUAAAUGUGUAGCAGUAGACUCAGUGUCAGUUGAUAUAUUAAAAUAACUUUAUGUUAGUGCAGCUAUAGAGGGAGUUUGACCUCCUUUAUGGUCAUGUUUAAUAGGAGAAAUUGCAUAUCGAAGCACUGCUUAAGAGAAGUUUAAGAAGUUGUAACCUCAUAAUGUUUAUUAAUCGCUAAAUCUCCUGGGAGGCUCAACUGGCUUUAUUCUUCUUCUCUUGUAAAGUUGUUUGGUAAUGUUGGUUUUAGAAGACAUUUAUGUUGUGAUGAAGCUUGCCAAAGCUAAUGAGCGCACAAAAUCCAACAAGAAAAUCCCUGAUUAUCUGAAACCACGGUGCCCACUGGAACUGAAAGUUUAAGAGCCAAGAAACCGAUGAGAAAAUUAAAGUCAGAUCAUUGUGAGCUCUGGUAAAGAGCAGAGAUAAACUGCCUGAAGCACAGCAGCUGUGAAUAACAAGCCCUACUGACAAAGUUUGUUUUGCCACAAAUUAUCUUGUAAAAUUAUAACUUCUGGAAAGAUUUGUUUGGGCAGAUCGGAAUAGCUUUUGUGCACAAGAUUGAAGAGAAAACAUCUUUAGUUUUAGUUUGUAGAAAACCUUUAAAAACCUUCUCAUGAUCCGUUCAGACUGACAAAAGAAAGAAGAUAAAUCUGGCAGCUACUUUAACAGUGUCUGCUUUUAAAUGAGGUUAAUUGCUUCAACUACUAGCAUACAAAAAAAAACACAUAUUUGUAAUUUCUACAGAAUACAUCUUGCUAAAAAAAUGAUAAAAAAUAUAGAAUGAAAAAGAAGUGAAUAUGUGGUUUUUAAAAUAGUGCUAAAAGUUUACUUAAAAUAUGGUGAGCACAAGGCUUACUAAGCAAAUUUUAAAUGACUAAGUUAGCUUAACUUAAGAAUGACUUAAAAUAGCUUUAAAAAUGUGGCAACACAAUGUCCUCAAAGGAAUGGAGACUAUAUGGUCAAAGUUUCUCAUCUAACUUAAAUUAAUUAAUUACAUUUUCGUGAGCCAGGCUAAGUGAUCUUAAAAAAACUAGACAACAUUAGUAACGGAAAAUGCUUAUGAAAUGAAUUAAUUUAUAAAAAAUGUGGGACAAAAUGUAGCAGUGUGGUUUUGCUACUAUUACAGGUAUACACUAGCUGGAAAACUAGUUGUAUUUCGAGCUAAAUUAAGUUAGUACUAAGCUAAUACUAAGCCAGCUUUAUCAAGCUAGUUUUCUAGUUUACCACUAAGCUAGUUCAUUGGCUAGCCUGCCAAAGAAACUUACUUUGUUGAUUUAGUUUGUAGAUGCAAUUGAAGAUUAAAAUUGCUAAAAUGUGGGAAAACUGUUGAGUUACUAAAGUGAAGAAGAAACUUGAAAACUAGUGUGUUAGUUUGGCUAGCUGGCUAGUAAGUUAGCCAAAAUACAAAUUAAUAAGAAGUAAUUUUUGGAUACUGAUUACUUAUAUGAGGAAACAAAAUAUCAUUGGUUAUAGUAUCAGUUGUUUAAAAGAAUGAUUUGCAAUUUGUGUUUUAAAAAAAGCUUCCCAAGGAAAUGAGAAGUACAUUUUCCCAGUUUUAAUCGUUCCUGUUUUAAAUCUACAUUCAUCUGCCAAAUAUAUUUCAAGGAAGCAUUAUCUGAGUAUUUUUUACAUCAAAAUAACUGUAUUUUGUUUCCUGUAAAAUGUUUAAAAUGACAAAAAAAGUAAGGAAGCCCAGAGAGGACCUGCCUCCAAACACUUUAUUUUACUCAGUAUUUCCAUGAGUAACAAUCAGUUGUUUCAUUCUCAAGAUCUCAAAUUAUUUAUCCCAUUAUUUGAGGAAAGCAAAGCUGGUUUUUGCAUCAUAACGAAUUAAUUUCAGCCAUUUUCUUGAGAUGUCGAGAAAUUAACUCAUUCUCAUGGGGAAACCAGCUACCAGUAGUUAUCUUGAGAUUACAUGAUAAAUAAUUUGAGAUCUUUAGAAAACAAAUGAAAUGUACUCGUUAUCACAGGGAAAACAUAGUCAAAAAAUAAGUCUGGAUGUUUGUCAACUUCUGGCUUCCGUAUAAUCGAUUGAACUAUUUUUUUCCCCCUUACCCCCCUGACACUAUAAAAUAAGUGAGUUAAGAAAAUUGUUUCCAGACAUAAAAUGACUACCUAGUUUAAAUUUUCAAGAUGAAUCCCCUUGUACAGAGACGAAUACCAUUGUGUAAUAAUCCAACAAUUUAAUAGUAAUAAGCUUACUUUACUGCCUCUUAAUCGACAAGACAGAUCCAAACUAAUUUGAAUAAUUUCCCAUUUUUUUGCUCUUUGCAUUAAGGAAAAGCUUCUCAUUUAGCUUCAGCUGCCAGCCUACUUUAAACAACCUCUGACAGAGAUAAAGGAGGAUUUUAUGAGCUUCGACCACAUUCCCAGAGAUGCAGAGUACUAAAUAACAUGUACAGACAAACUGGAAUAGGCAAGGGAUUUAAAUGCUGAAGGUCCCAGCUCUUAAUGUAGCCACAGCAGUAUUGGUUGACUAUACUUUGGUUGUGAUAUAUUCAGGUUUUUAUUUUCUGCAUAAACUGAUUUAUUUUAAAGUUUUUGGUGCUAGAAGUUAACAAAAUGUUCAAUCUGUGUCAUUCAAAGCCUGAAACCAGACUGUAGAUCUUUUCUGGGAGAAGAAAAUAUAUUUGAACGCAGGUUUUUUUUACCCCAGGUAGCUGCACUUAAUAAUUCAACUGAUUUCAUGAACAGUCACGGGUUUCUGGCCUUGAAUGAAUACAGAUCUGAGACUGAUGCUGAUACAUCAGUUGGCAUUAACUGUUAAUCUUUGUUCACUAUGGAGUAAACUAAGUUUCUUCAGUACGUAGUCAGAGUUGCUGACUCUGUGUACUGUAAAUGUAGCUGUGAGUAGUUGCAUACACAUAGGAGAUACUGUCACAGUGUUUUAUUACAUGCAUGAAGUACUGUAGCUCUGAGGGUUGUGUAUUUACAGCAGUGUUUUGUCGCCUUUUUGCUCUGUCAGACUGUCUGCCGUCGCUGAUACAGAUCAAUAACUGUAGUGUUUUUUAUGUAUCUCAAAUGAGAUUGUUCAAAGAAAAACACACUAUCUUUGCAUCAGACAGCUGUAAAAUCGGCUUAAAUGCACCAAUAGUUUUCUUAAAAGUCUGUCCUCAACAUAGCAAAUGUGGUGUUUCUAACAUUGACGGAACAAAUUAAAAGCAUUAAGCUACAAUUGAUGAUUUAAUGCCAUUUUAAACCAGAACAUUUAUGUACUGGCUGCAUUUAGGGUUGUCAUAAUACCAGAAUUCAAAACUAAAGAACUAGGCAACCAAUAUUGGGGUAAAAUAUUGGGUCAUUUCUUGUUUGCAGUUUUAAAAGAUUGCAGACAAACUCCUGCACACUGUCUAUAUUUCACAAAUACAUUGGUAAGGUUAUUUUAUUUGUGCAACUUAGAGAGCGUGCAGGAUAAUGGUUGUUGAUACUAUUGAUCAUAAAAAAAGAGAGAUUGUAUUGUAUGUAAACAUGUGGUAUUGAAACACAUCACACAUUCUGACAACCUUACUGCAUAGUUCCCACAUGUAAAAAUGUUCACUAUGUCUGCUGAAUCCAUUUAGACAGAUUUCAAAUGAUCUCACUUGAAACAUCAUUUGAAAAACAAAAAACAAUUAAAAAAAAAAAAAAAAAUAGUUCCUUCUUUAUCCCAUAACUUUAAAAUCCAAAAGACUUUGUUUGAUGCCAUAAUCUUGUAUUAUUGUCGCUGAAUGUAAAAAAAAUGUGCUUUAAAGUGUUUUUUCUGCAUCCGUCGUGCCUCAUAGCGUCUGACUCACAUGUCGUUGUUAAGCCCCGCCUUCCUGACACCAGGGUGGUGUUUGGUCUGCAGGUGGAGGUCUGCGUAGUGCCUCGUAGAAACGCUUUGAUACCCUCAGUGCUCUGAUGUUUAACGUGUGUGCGUUCAGUGGUGUUCUGAGCUAACGUGCCUCCAGAUGUCAUCUAGAAUUUCUCUUUUUCUUUUGCUGUACCUUUGUUUGGUUUUUACCUGAAGUUUUAUUAAAUAGAUGAUAUGUAUAUUUUUGCAGAAAGAAGCUGUUUUUUUAUUUUAACUGUAAAGUUUUAACUGUAAAUUGCACUAAUUGUUUUACAGAUGCUCUUAGAUGUGACGUUCAGGUUAUAAUGAAUGUUGAAAAGUUAAAUAUAUAAAUCUUGUAUAUGUUUAAAUAACUGAUUCUUAUAUGUGUUUGCUCACAAUAAACUAAAGACCAUCUAAGAACUAAACACA